rnacentral:rRNA from 1 species
ACCUACGGGGGGCAGCAGUGGGGAACAUUGCACAAUGGGGGAAACCCUGAUGCAGCGACGCCGCGUGAGCGAUGAAGUAUUUCGGUAUGUAAAGCUCUAUCAGCAGGGAAGAAAAUGACGGUACCUGACUAAGAAGCACCGGCUAAAUACGUGCCAGCAGCCGCGGUAAUACGUAUGGUGCAAGCGUUAUCCGGAUUUACUGGGCGUAAAGGGAGCGCAGGCGGCGCGCCAAGUCUGAUGUGAAACCCCGGGGCUCAACCCCGGGCAUGCAUUGGAAACUGGCGGGCUGGAGUGCCGGAGAGGUA